UGUCACAAUGUACAGCAUGAUCUCCACGAUCGAUAGCAGGAUAAGU
rnacentral:sRNA from 1 species